CUGCUUUUAGGAACGAGAGUAUACAGCCCUCCAGAGUGGAUCAGAUACCACAGAUACCAUGGGAGGUCAGCAACAGUGUGGUCUCUGGGAGUUCUGCUGUACGAUAUGGUUUGCGGAGACAUCCCUUUUGAGCAAGAUGAAGAAAUCUUGAGGGGACGAUUAUACUUCAGGAGAAGAAUUUCACCUGAAUGUCAACAGCUGAUCAAAUGGUGCCUUUCACUGAGGCCUUCAGACAGACCAACACUUGAGCAAAUUUUUGACCAUCAAUGGAUGCACAAAUCUGAAGUAGUGAAGUCUGAGGACUGUGACAUAAGGCUACGGACCCUUGAUACUGAUGUAUCUAGCACAAGUUCAAGUAAUGAGAGUCUGUGAAUUACUAAGGACCUCGCACUGGGAGGGGAGCUACAAGCAGAAAGACCACAGUGCUGCUGCCAAUACGUAGGAGGGGCUAGAAAAAUGCAUUCAUUAUUCUGUAGUUGAAUCUUUGUCUGAGGGACUUGAUUUUAUUUUCCCCCUUUGCUGGUUUCUGCUUUGGAAUGAGAGAUUUCCUUUGGAAACGCUGAUGUUUGGGAGUUGCAGGCCAGUACUUAGUCACAGACUGACCUUAUUAAGAAAGCAGUGACCUCUUGAAUACAUGGUAAACUUUUUUGCUCUCAUAGAGCCUGGACUAGAUUUUAUUUGCUUUUGAGUGCCUUUUUGAAAGCUGCUUCAGUGGGACUUUCUUUUUUGAGCUGUGUAUGUCCAAAGAAGAUCCAGUUCAUUAUAGGAAUUUGCUCCCUUUAGACUCAGUGCUGGAGGAAGCAGCUCCUAUGAUGCAUUGGAGAACAUGUUCGGUGAUUGAAUGAAGUAGUCCCAUCCACUGGUGAUGGAAUACUUGAACACAGACAUUUCACUCCUGCCCCCUGGCCCUUUCCAAAUCCAACCCACCUCUGCUGCUCAAAAUAAUUCCUAUAGCCUGCACAGAAAUAUGAACAGGUAUAUCAGCUUUUUUAUCAGAAACAUUUAUUCAUGUUUCCUUUUAUCAUCUCUACCAUUGGGCAUGAGAAGCCCCUUUCUCAACUCCCCCCGGCCUUUUGUCACCCUGCGAGUCUUAAAGUAUGUAUGGGCAUGUUGAAUGCACAAUCAAUGCAAUAUUCAAGGACUUUACUUUUUUUUUCCAUACCUGUAUAAUGUGUUUAUGUAAACUCGGUUUUUCCCAUGUACUAUACAGUUAUUUAUUGUUUGAAGUUUAGAAGACCUCCCACAGGUUUCAGCUGUGGCUAUUUAUUUGGUUAAUUUAUUUGGUUAGAGUUAUUCAACACUGUGCUUUCCCCUCCUUCUCCCCAUGGGAAUUCUAGUGGUUUGCCCAUGGCACUUUUUUUCUGCAUUCCUGUCAACUUUUGUUUAAAAAAAGAAA